ACCCUUCGCAUUUCGGUAUUAAAUCGCUUUUCAGUGUGGAUCUGGCUCGAUGUGAAGAAUAAAGUCCAAGGAGAAGGCACAUGCAAAGCAGCCCCUCAUACACACUUGGUUUUGAAAGAGAACACCCUAAAGAGCACCUCAUGCCAUAGGAGCUCAGAGUAAAUCGUUGCCUGUAACGAUGGAAUUAAAAAGAAGAAAAACAACUGGCUGACCUAAGUUGUAUGCCUACCUAAAUUAAUAUUCAAGCAAAACCUAUAUCCUGAAGUGCGAUUUGAUGUACGCCUCAAGGAACGAGUCCAGAAAAAGA